GUAAAUGGUAAUAUGCUCUAAACCGCUCUGGUGACAAACUUUGCUGCCUUGUUUCCAAUCGUCCACAUGGCUGCGAGAACCUAUUCAAGGCCAUCUGGGACUGCCUCCUGAGGGCCUUCAGGCGUGUCAAGGCUACCUGUGUCCUGCAUAACUUAAUGGACACGAGGACCAGGAGGGGGAUCUACAGCUUGCCGCCGUGUGCCAGAGGAGAGGUCUACAGGAUGCUUCAAGGAUGGGGGCAAACAACUCAGCACAGGAGGCAAUCCAUGUGCGGGAGAUCUUCACCACCUUCAAAGAGGGUGAGGGUGCUGCCUGUACAAAAACAAAAAAGGCUCUUUCAAGAGUCGCCCAUAUUGAGAACAAUUACACACAUCUCUCGUCUCCAGGAAGGAUUAAACAUGGACGUCAAAGCUGGAUGUGUUGAUGGACUCGAGGGCCAAAUGAAUCAGAGGACACAUGCAGUAUUUCCACCACUACUUACAGUACCUUCGGACACAAAGCCAGAGUGUAUGUGGGCACGGAGGGAAAACCCUCUCUGUCACCCCAAAGAGGGAGGUGACGAAAAAGGAGUUGUGGCAGAGGACGUUACCUCCAGGAGCUGCCACAAUGUGCAGCCGCCGACACCUGUUACCCAGCAUGCCCCUAAAAGGAGAGAGAGGCGCCAAUCAGAGCAAAGUUACCGCCCGGCUGCUGCCACAGGCUGUCCCCAAGACCCGCAGAGCCAAGCCGAGCAGACGUUCUGAACUUUGGACCCCCUCUCUCUCUUCUCUCUCUCUCUCUCCCUCUCUCUGUCUCUCUCCCUGCCCCCCCCCUCUCUUAACUUCUAACCCCUUUCCCACCCCCCUCUGUCACUCUCUCUCUUUCUCUCUCUCUCUCUCUCUCUCUCUCCCUCUCUCUGUCUCUCUCCCUGCCCCCCCCCCCUCUCUUAACUUCUAACCCCCUUCCCACCCCCCUCUGUCACUCUCUUAACCCCCCAGCUGUCUGGCAUGUUUCUGGCUCUUCACUCUCAAACAUACCACAACGGCUCUUGGCUGGAAAAUGUACACAGGCACUAUCCCACCACAGACACUAUCCCACUACAGACACUAUCCCACCACAGACACUAUCCCACUACAGACACUAUCCCACCACAGGCACUAUCCCACCACAGACACUAUCCCACCACAGACACUAUCCCACUACAGACACUAUCCCACUACAGACACUAUCCCACCACAGGCACUAUCCCACCACAGGCACUAUCCCACCACAGACACUAUCCCACCACAGGCACUAUCCCACCACAGACACUAUCCCACCACAGACACUAUCCCACCACAGGCACUAUCCCACCACAGGCACUAUCCCACCACAGGCACUAUCCCACCACAGGCACUAUCCCACCACAGACACUAUCCCACUACAGACACUAUCCCACCACAGACUGGACUGCCCCUCAAACCACUUCUUAACGAGACGCCCCCCAGGGGGGUCUAAAGUUACACCCCCACCGCC
rnacentral:lncRNA from 1 species